UGCCGGGUGGACGAAUUGGUAAGUCGCAUCGCUCUGAACGAUGAGGUUGCAGGUUCAAACCCUGCCCUGGCAACCA
rnacentral:tRNA from 2 species